rnacentral:misc_RNA from 1 species
AAAGUCGUAACAAGGUUUCCGUAGGUGAACCUGCGGAAGGAUCAUUAAAAAAUUGGACUCCAUUGGUGAGUUCAUUAAUAAUCCCUACCCUUUGUGAAUUUGUUUGUUUGAAUAAUUUUUUUUCCAAAAAAAAUUAUUGAAUGUCUUUCCUUGUUUUGGUGGAGCUUGUAAAGUGAAACCAGGCAGGGGAAUGGCAAACAAUAAUUAUUUUUGAAAAAGACCUUUUUUUAAAAUUAAACUUUUUGUAUUCAUUUGUCUAAAAUUAAUUUUAUAAUAUAAAAACAACUUUUGACAAUGGAUCUCUUGGUUCUCGCAACGAUGAAGAACGCAGCAAAAUGCAAUAAGUAGUGUGAAUUGCAGAAUACGUGAAUCAUCGAAUCUUCGAACGCAUAUUGCACUUUUUUAGUUUACUAAAAAAGUAUGUCUGUUUGAGUAUCAGUAAAAUAUUCUCAUAAAAAACAUUGUUUUUUUUAUGGUUAUGAGUGUUUUACAACGAUAACAAGUUGUUUCACUUUAAGUUCUUUGUUAUCAAAAAAAUCAUUAAAAGCUAAUUUUAAAGAUUUUUUAAAAUUGGAUAAAAUUUUCCCGUAAAAAGGAAUAACCUAAACAAUUUUAAAAAAUUAAAAUUGGUUUGAUUUUUUUGAAACCCAAAGGAAAAAAAACGAAAUUAACUUGAUCUCAAAUCAGAUAAGAGUACCCGCUGAACUUAAGCAUAUCAAUAAGCGGAGGAAAAGAAACUAACUAGGAUUCCUCAGUAACGGCGAGUGAAGCGGGAAGAGCUCAAAUUUGAAAUCUUCAAGGUUUUACCUUGACGAAUUGUAGUUUAAAGAAGUGUUUUCAGUUGGAGUUUUGGUAAAGUUCUUUGGAAAAGGACAUCAUAGAGGGUGAGAAUCCCGUAUUUGACCAUUAUCUCCAGCUUUGUGAUACACUUUCAAAGAGUCGGAUUGUUUGGGAAUGCAGUCCAAAAUGGGUGGUAAAUUUCAUCUAAAGCUAAAUACUGGCGAGAGACCGAUAGCGAACAAGUACCGUGAGGGAAAGAUGAAAAGAACUUUGAAAAGAGAGUUAAACAGUACGUGAAAUUGUCAAAAGGGAAGCGUUUGACACCAGUGUUGUUUUCUCGAAAAUCAAUUAAAAAAGGCCGGAUUUUGUGUUGUAUUGACUUUAUCAGCUUUCUGCACUCUUUUCUUGUCUUUUUUAAUGCACUUUUCGUUUAACAAGUCAACAUCAAUUUCUUUUGUUGUAAAAGGGUCAUUGGAAGGUGGCUUUCUUUUCGGAGAAAGUGUUUAUAGCCUUUGGCCUCUGCAAUCGGAGAGAUUGAGGUCUGCAGCGUAGAUCCUUCGGGGUUAGAUACAUUUGUGCUAAGUUAUAGCCUUUCAUAGACAACUUGUUGACUAUGAUCAGUCAUGUAGCUUACUCGCUUAUGCUAUUUUACCUACGCUUAGGAUGUUGAG